rnacentral:rRNA from 1 species
UACGGGGGAGCAAGCGUUGUUCGGAUUACUGGGCGUAAAGGGCGCGUAGGCGGUCAGCACAAGUCAGUUGUGAAAUCUCCGGGCUUAACUCGGAAAGGUCAACUGAUACUGUGCGACUAGAGUGCGGAAGGGGCAACUGGAAUUCUCGGUGUAGCGGUGAAAUGCGUAGAUAUCGAGAGGAACACCUGCGGCGAAGGCGGGUAGCUGGGCCGACACUGACGCUGAGGCGCGAAAGCCAGGGAGCGAACGGG